UGAGCCACAAGUCACAAAACAUAAAGCAGCCAGUUGAACGACAGAAGUGGAAGACCCCAAACCAUUCACAGCAGCUUUCAGUGUUCCUGGGUAGAGUCCAGAACUGACCUCAUUACUAAGUCACUGUUGUACCCUAGCAAGUUAUUUCACCCUCUGAGGAAUCUGGAUUCUCUCUCAGUGGAUGCUGGGAUAAUAGCAAUGAACUCCUACGGUUUAGGAAAAAAGUAAGGAAUCCUGAUCUACAUGAAUUCCAGUAACACAUCAAAGAUAACUUGUGCUUCCAGCAUACUGUUAGUUAAACAACAAGACAAAAUAUAUUAAACAAUGGUUUUCAGACAUUGGACAAAGACAGCUCAAAUAAGUUAUUUAUGAAAAAAGUAAAGCAAAUGAGGCAAGCCCUACAAUUACUUGGAACUAACUGCCUGGGGGGUUUCCAGGACACAGUGAAGAGAGUGGGAGCCCAAAUGGACUCUUGACCUCCCUAAAUGGAGAAGAUGGAGUUGAGAGUUUAGUGUAGGGGGAAAAGAUGAUUAGAAUUCACAGCGAUGAGAAAGAAGAUGGACAUAGAAUGAGGAGAGAUCUGUACAAAAAGAGAGCUGCGGAGACAUGCAGAAGGUCGCCAUCUGAGUACUGAUCAAUACAUACAUGUAAAGAACCUGGGGAAAGAACCACCUGAAGGAAUAAUUCAAACAAUCCCUGGUGCUCACACAGGGCUGGAAACAGUUUGUGCUUCCAUGAACAAGAGUGAAAAUAAAUUAGUACAUAAAUAAAUAAACCUUUGAGAAUACAUAGUGCGUCAGAUAACACAGAAAGAAUAUUGCCUCAAUAGUUUGGUAAAAUUAGCCCUAGCCUAAAGGCUGCUUCAAACUUGCCACAGAAAGCUGAGAAACAAUGAAAAAAAAAAAAAGUUGAGAAAGGAUGAAACUGUUUUCAACUAAAUUAUCUGCAUCCUGGAAAAAAAGCUUUGGUAUAUUUUAGGGAAUACAAAAAUAUCCAACUUAACAAGGUGAAUUUUACAAUAUCCUUUUUUUCCAAUAAAAAAUUAUCAUACAUGAAAAGAAUUGAAAUAUUUUAUAUGCUCAAGAAGUAAAGUAUGAACAUAUUAAGAAAAUAUGUGGAAGAUAGAAGACCCAAAUUGAGCAUCUACUGGGAAAAAAAUAGUAUUUAAGAUUAAAAAUAUGCCAAGUAGGAUUAACAGCAGAUUAGAUACUGAAGAAGAGACCAGUAAAAUUGAAGAUAGCAAUAAAUACUAUCCAAAAUAGAAUGCAAAGGGGAAAAUAACACUGAAACACCACCACCAACAAAAAGAGAUCUGUGGGAAAGCAUUAAGUUGUAUAAUAUACAAGUAAUUGGAGUCCCUGAAAAGCGGGAAGGGUCCUAUUUGAAGAAAUAAUAGCUAAAUAUAUAUAUUUUUUCAAAUUUGGUAAAUAUUAUCCAACUACAUAUUUAAGAAGCUCAACAAAUAAUGAAUAAUAAUUAUGAAGAACAUUAUACUACUGCACAUCAUUACACUAAUGAAGAACAUUACACUAAUGCAAUCAAAUUGCUUAAAAAUAAAAAAAAAUCUUAAAACAUCCAGAGAGCAAUAGAAAACAGUGUACAUCCAGAGGAACAAAGAUAAGAAUAAGGCAAAGAUCAGGAACAUGGGUAAAGGAUAAAUACUGGAGAAGCUUUUGUGCAUAGUGAACUAAAUUCAACUUUUUUCUCAACUUUAUCUUUUAGUGCAAGCUAGAAGACAGUGGCACAACAUUGCCAAAUUACUUGUGGUAGUGAAUAUGAGGGAGUGACAACCAAGAAUGUUACACCCAGUGAAUGUACCUUUGAAAAAUGAAGAACAAAAAAAAAACAAAGACUCUUUUAGAUACACCAAAUCUGAAAUAACCCAUCAACAAUGGAUCUGUUCUACAUGAAAUGUUAAAGUAAUUGUUUCAAACAGAAGCAAUAUGAAACCAGACGGAAAUGGGAAUCUACACAAGGAAUGAAAGAGCCCAGUAAUGGCUAACAAAUAAGUAUAUAAUAAAAGUUUUUUUUUUAAUUUUUAGAAAUCCAUUUUUAAGACACUUGACCUUUGAAAGCAAAACUAAAAGAAAUUAUUACAUGGUUUAUAAAUAUAUAGAAGUAGAAUAUAUGACAAUGACACAAAGGCAAGAAAGGGUAAAGGGAAGAAUACUUUUGUAAGGUAAAAUACUACCAUAAAUACUAAAACAAUCACUAUAAAAGGAAAAGAAAAAGUGGUGUUGCCAAUAAGCAAACAAAAGAGAUCAUUUGAAACUUAAAAAAAAUACUCAGUCCAACAACAAGCUAUGUUCUCCUCGUUCCUGUGCCUAUUAACAUAUGUUGUCUCUGACUACUUCUGCUUCAGAAUAUCUGGCAAACUCCGACCCAUCUUUCAAGCAUCAGCUCAACUAAUGCCUUCUCUGGGGAGCCCCCUGUGAUGCUCACAGUCAUGCAUAUUCUUAGAAAAAUAAUUAUGCUAUGGUCUUAUUAUUGUUUGUUUUCAUGACUGACUCCUCAUUAGACUUCAGGUUCUUGAGAACAUAGGUGAUGCACUUUUAUCUCUCUGUCUUUGGCAAAUAACAUAACCCUACCCCAUAGUAGGACCUUAGUAAAUAUCUAUUGAAUAAAUAAAGUCUAUAUUCAAUGAUUUUAUUAACUGUAAUUUCUCUCUGGGUUUUGCCACAUAAAUCAUAUUUACCUUGCUAGCACUUGGUGACCUCCU
rnacentral:lncRNA from 10 species